rnacentral:rRNA from 1 species
AGUGAACGCUGGCGGUAGGCCUAACACAUGCAAGUCGAACGGCAGCACAGUAAGAGCUUGCUCUUACGGGUGGCGAGUGGCGGACGGGUGAGGAAUAAAUCGGAAUCUACUUUUUCGUGGGGGAUAACGUAGGGAAACUUACGCUAAUACCGCAUACGACCUACGGGUGAAAGCAGGGGAUCUUCGGACCUUGUGCGAUUGAAUGAGCCGAUGUCGGAUUAGCUAGUUGGCGGGGUAAAGGCCCACCAAGGCGACGAUCCGUAGCUGGUCUGAGAGGAUGAUCAGCCACACUGGAACUGAGACACGGUCCAGACUCCUACGGGAGGCAGCAGUGGGGAAUAUUGGACAAUGGGCGCAAGCCUGAUCCAGCCAUACCGCGUGGGUGAAGAAGGCCUUCGGGUUGUAAAGCCCUUUUGUUGGGAAAGAAAAGCAGCAGGUUAAUACCCCGCUGUUCUGACGGUACCCAAAGAAUAAGCACCGGCUAACUUCGUG